rnacentral:misc_RNA from 1 species
GUCAGCUCACUUUACACUUGGACACUCUCCUCCUUUCCUCCAACAACCAUGACAUUUUCGUCUUCUUAAAGCCAUCCAUCUGUUCAACAAUGCCAUCGAUUAAUGGAGAAAAAANNNNNNNNNNNNNGUUCCAUUGGGACUGGCUAUAAUGGUGGCAUAUCACAUAUGGCUUCUCUAUCGAAUCAUCAACCACCCUUCUAAGACUGUUAUAGGCGUCAAUACUAUCAACCGCCGCUUCUGGGUUCAGGCCAUGAUGGAAGACUCGGCCAAGAAUGGAGUUCUUGCUGUGCAGACUCUACGAAACAAUAUAAUGGCAUCAACCCUUCUGGCAUCCACGGCCAUCAUGCUCAGCUCCGUUAUUGCAGUGCUCAUGACCAGUGUCACCAAGGGUGAUCGAUCUGCUUGGAAUUUUUAGUAUGGGGAUACAAGUGAGUUGGGAUUGUACAUCAAGUUCUUCUCUAUAUUGGUAUGUUUCUUGGUGGCUUUCUUGCUGAAUGUGCAAUCCAUUAGGUAUUAUAGCCAUGCAAGCAUCCUUAUUAACGUACCCUUCAAGAAUUUGUUAGCUGAUCACAACCACCACCAUCUCACGGCGGAGUAUGUGGCUAGGUCUGUUAGUAGGGGUAGCUAUUUUUGGUCUUUAGGACUACGUGCCUUCUACUUCUCUUUCCC